UUUUUGAUAGAGCUAGGAGGAGACCCCAUAAAGAUUUGCAAGCUUUGCAGUUCCUUUUGCCUUUGAAACUAUAAAAUAAUCUUUUAAUGUUUUAUUAUUCACUAAAUAUAAGAAAAAUACCUAUAAUUGCAUUAAAUAGCAAACAAAGAAUGAGGGGAUGUAUAUAUGUAAUUUUCUAUAUGUGUGUUAACGUAAAACCAGCAUGUAAUUAUGUAAUUCAUGUUGCUGUAAAAUUUCAUGAAAAAUCUUGAAAGCUCUCCUCUAAUGAAAUUCAUUUUGGACUGUGCUGACCUAUUAGAAUUGCAUUUUCUUUUAUGACUAUGGGUGGAUGUGCAAGAACUUGUUUAUUUAAAAGUCUUUUUUUUUUAUUCAGUUUUAUUUUGGAUGUAUGCAUUUAUUUCCUGUUUAAUCGUGUUGGUCUAUCUGAUGUUUUACUUGCAAUUUUCUAUUGCAUGUGGUUUUUGGUCAGAAUACAUUUGUUUGAAUGAUGUUUAAGUUUGUGUUUUCG
rnacentral:misc_RNA from 1 species